CCUAACACAUGCAAGUCGAACGGUAACAGGAAACAGCUUGCUUCUUUGCUGACGAGUGGCGGACGGGUGAGUAAUGUCUGGGAAACUGCCUGAUGGAGGGGGAUAACUACUGGAAACGGUAGCUAAUACCGCAUAACGUCGCAGGACCAAAGAGGGGGACCUUCGGGCCUCUUGCCAUCGGAUGUGCCCAGAUGGGAUUAGCUAGUAGGUGGGGUAACGGCUCACCUAGGCGACGAUCCCUAGCUGGUCUGAGAGGAUGACCAGCCACACUGGAACUGAGACACGGUCCAGACUCCUACGGGAGGCAGCAGUGGGGAAUAUUGCACAAUGGGCGCAAGCCUGAUGCAGCCAUGCCGCGUGUAUGAAGAAGGCCUUCGGGUUGUAAAGUACUUUCAGCGGGGAGGAAGGGAGUAAAGUUAAUACCUUUGCUCAUUGACGUUACCCGCAGAAGAAGCACCGGCUAACUCCGUGCCAGCAGCCGCGGUAAUACGGAGGGUGCAAGCGUUAAUCGGAAUUACUGGGCGUAAAGCGCACGCAGGCGGUUUGUUAAGUCAGAUGUGAAAUCCCCGGGCUCAACCUGGGAACUGCAUCUGAUACUGGCAAGCUUGAGUCUCGUAGAGGGGGGUAGAAUUCCAGGUGUAGUGGUGAAAUGCGUAGAGAUCUGGAGGAAUACCGGUGGCGAAGGCGGCCCCCUGGACGAAGGCUGACGCUCAGGUGCGAA
rnacentral:rRNA from 1 species